CCUACGGGAUGCAGCAGUGGGGAAUAUUGCGCAAUGGGCGAAAGCCUGACGCAGCGACGCCGCGUGAGGGAUGAAGGUCUUCGGAUCGUAAACCUCUGUCAGCAGGGAAGAACGGUCACUGUGCUAAUCAGCAGUGAAUUGACGGUACCUGCAAAGGAAGCACCGGCUAACUCCGUGCCAGCAGCCGCUGUAAUAAGGAGGGUGCGAGCGUUAAUCGGACUUUCUGGGCGUAAAGCGCUCGUAGGCGGUAUGUCAAGUCAAGGGUGAAAUCCCCGCGCGCAACGUGGGAACUGCCUUUGAAACUGGCAAACUGGAGUGUGUGAGAGGAUAGUGGAAUUCCAGGUGUAGGAGUGAAAUCCGUAGAUAUCUGGAGGAACAUCAGUGGCGAAGGCGACUAUCUGGCACAUAACUGACGCUGAGGAGCGAAAGCGUGGGUAGCAAACAGGAUUAGAUACCCCUGUAGUC
rnacentral:rRNA from 1 species